AUUCAUAGACCUGCUGAGGACAGAUGAGGUGGAUGUGGGAGUCGAUACCUCCUGCGGUGAGGAUGCUGUGCUCGCCUGCGAUGACAUCCGUGCCGUUGCCGACUAUCAUGUUGGGAUGGACACCAUCCAUGACGUCUGGAUUGCCGGCUUUACCAAUACCCACGAUGAUACCGUCCUUGAUCCCAACAUCGGCCUUGUAGAUGCCGGACCAGUCGACAAUAAGGGCAUUCGUAAUAACCGUGUCGAGCACAUCGGCAUCCUUCCGAUCAGAUGCUUGUCCCAUCCCUUCUCGAAG
rfam:Fonsecaea erecta strain CBS 125763 Scaff6, whole genome shotgun sequence.